AUUGAACGCUGGCGGCAUGCCUUACACAUGCAAGUCGAACGGUAACAGGUCUUCGGAUGCUGACGAGUGGCGAACGGGUGAGUAAUGUAUCGGAACGUGCCCAGUUGUGGGGGAUAACUACUCGAAAGAGUGGCUAAUACCGCAUACGACCUGAGGGUGAAAGCGGGGGAUCGCAAGACCUCGCGCAAUUGGAGCGGCCGAUAUCAGAUGAGGUAGUUGGUGGGGUAAAGGCUCACCAAGACGACGAUCUGUAGCUGGUCUGAGAGGACGAGCGCCCACACUGGGACUGAGACACGGCCCAGACUCCUACGGGAGGCAGCAGUGGGGAAUUUUUGACAAUGGGCGCAAGCCUGAUCCAGCAAUGCCGCGUGCAGGAUGAAGGCCUUCGGGUUGUAAACUGCUUUUGUACAGAGCGAAAAGGUCUCUUCUAAUACAAGGGGCUCAUGACGGUACUGUAAGAAUAAGCACCGGCUAACUACGUGCCAGCCGCCGCCGUAAUAC
rnacentral:rRNA from 1 species